UACGUAGGGAGCAAGCGUUUGUCCGGAAUCAUUGGGCGUAAAGCGCGCGUAGGCGGCCCGAUAAGUCCGUUGUGAAAGUCAAAGGCUCAACCUUUGAAUGCCGAUGGAUACUGUCGGGCUAGAGUCCGGAAGAGGCGAGUGGAAUUCCUGGUGUAGCGGUGGAAUGCGCAGAUAUCAGGAGGAACACCAAUAGCGAAGGCAGGUCUCUGGGCAUUAACUGACGCUGAGGAGCGAAAGCAUGGGGAGCGAACAGG
rnacentral:rRNA from 1 species